GGUAUGGGAUGAGCUUGCGUCCGAUUAGCUAGUUGGCGGGGCAACGGCCCACCAAGGCGACGAUCGGUAGCCGGCCUGAGAGGGUGAUCGGCCACAUUGGGACUGAGAUACGGCCCAGACUCCUACGGGAGGCAGCAGUAGGGAAUAUUGCACAAUGGGGGAAACCCUGAUGCAGCAACGCCACGUGUGGGAAGAAGCAUUUCGGUGUGUAAACCACUGUCAUGAGGGAAUAAGGCCCGCCUUCGGACGGGAUUGAAUGUACCUUGAGAGGAAGCACCGGCAAACCUCGUGCCAGCAGCCGCGGUAAUACGAGGGGUGCAAGCGUUGUUCGGAAUUACUGGGCGUAAAGGGAGCGUAGGCGGAGAUUCAAGCGGAUUGUACAAUCCCGGGGCCCAACCCCGGCUCUGCAGUCCGAACUGGAUCUCUUGGAUAGUUCAGGGGCAGGC
rnacentral:rRNA from 1 species